rnacentral:rRNA from 1 species
UACAGAGGUCCCGAGCGUUGUUCGGAUUCACUGGGCGUAAAGGGUGCGUAGGUGGUGAGGCAAGUCGGAUGUGAAAUCUCCGAGCUCAACUCGGAAAUGGCAUUGGAAACUACCUUGCUCGAGGGUUGGAGGGGGGACUGGAAUACUUGGUGUAGCAGUGAAAUGCGUAGAUAUUCGCAAGAACACCAGUGGCGAAGGCGGAUCUCUGGGCCAUUACUGACGCUGAGGAGCGAAAGCGUGGGGAGCGAACAGG